ensembl:lncRNA
CCGCGGUUCGUUAUCCCCCCAUCCAAUUAGGGGUGGUGUUAAUGAGUCCCUCCCACCAUUGGUGGCACCAUGAUGACACAUUGGGCCCCCCCAUAUCCACACUCAGUGCUGGGACCCCCCCCCAAAUCAAGGCUGGGACCCCCAUUGCAGCACCUCCCAUCCCAACCAUGGUGGCCACCAUAGCUCUGCUCUCCGACCGCGGUUCGUUAUCCCCCCAUCCAAUUAGGGGUGGUGUUAAUGAGUCCCUCCCCCCAUUGGUGGCACCAUGAUGACCCAUUGGGCCCCCCCCCCAAUGUCCCC